AAUUCGCCGAAAUCAGACUAUAACCUGGGAUCAGACGGAAUUCAGGAGGAGCUUGCUCCUCCGGAUUAGUGGCGAACGGGUGAGUAAUACGUGAGCAAUGUGCCCUUGACUCUGGGAUAAGCGCUGGAAACGGCGUCUAAUACCGGAUACGACCCUCGGAGGCAUCUCCUGGGGGUGGAAAGAACUUCGGUCAAGGAUCAGCUCACGGCCUAUCAGCUUGUUGGUGAGGUAACGGCUCACCAAGGCGACGACGGGUAGCCGGCCUGAGAGGGUGACCGGCCACACUGGGACUGAGACACGGCCCAGACUCCUACGGGAGGCAGCAGUGGGGAAUAUUGCACAAUGGGCGCAAGCCUGAUGCAGCAACGCCGCGUGAGGGACGACGGCCUUCGGGUUGUAAACCUCUUUUAGCAGGGAAGAAGCGAAAGUGACGGUACCUGCAGAAAAAGCACCGGCUAACUACGUGCCAGCAGCCGCGGUAAUACGUAGGGUGCAAGCGUUGUCCGGAAUUAUUGGGCGUAAAGAGCUCGUAGCGGUCUGUCACGUCUGCUGUGAAAACCCGAGCUCAACCUCGGGCUUGCAGUGGGUACGGC
rnacentral:rRNA from 1 species